ACGCUCGACACCUACGGGGAGGCAGCAGGUGGGGAAUAUUGCACAAUGGGGGAAACCCUGAUGCAGCGACGCCGCGUGAGCGAAGAAGUAUUUCGGUAUGUAAAGCUCUAUCAGCAGGGAAGAAAAUGACGGUACCUGACUAAGAAGCCCCGGCUAACUACGUGCCAACAGCCGCGGUAAUCUGAGCGGGCUGGCAAGGC
rnacentral:rRNA from 1 species